rnacentral:lncRNA from 1 species
AUGAGACAGGAUGCAAUAAAAUUUGGCCGAGACCGGAAAAUACGUCAAAGGAAAAGUUUGAGCAUUGCCUCCAAGAAAUUAGACUCUUCCUCUGAGAAAGAAACUUAUUCACAAGAAAAAAGCAAAGAUGCUUUGCGAAUGGAAGACCUUUAUAUAAACCAUAAAACAAUGGAAAAAAGCGAGAUCGGAAACUUUAACAGCUUUAAUUGUAUCCUGCAGAAGAACAUUAAUUCAAUAAAAAAAUGAUUCUCCCGCUGCGAGGGACUCAAACACUGCCCGUUGUCAAAGCAAAGCUAAUGUCGGUGACUGGGUUCAAGAUUUUAAAUAUUACAAAUACUUCGUAGAGGCAAGUGCUGCUGCAAUGUUUUGAGACCUCCAUUACCUGCAUGGAGACCAUCACUGUGCGAGAAAAAAAUUUGACGGUAUUUGGUAGACAAGAUGGAGCAAAGUGUGUAAUUUCAGGAAGAGACAACCAUAUGGUGCCAUUAGGUUUGAAUUAAAGUGUGACUAAAAAUGUAAAUUUAAAUUACCAUUCAAUAAAAAAGAGCAAAAAUCUUACAAUAUUAAAAAAGCUAAGGCCUUUUUUGUGUGCACCAGUGGCAUGGCGUGAAUUGCGAUACAUCGAUUGUUAUGCCAUUUAAACCUAUGGUAAAGAAUCGAUUAUUAAGGUAUUCGCUGCGAACACCCUGUUUAUCAAUCCUUUUCCAUAGAUUUAAAUGGCAUAACAAUGGAUGUAUCGCAAUUCACGCCACGCCACUGGUGUGCACGUCCGUUUCAAUCCGCAUUCUCCUCGGUCCUUUCAUUGACCUAUCAGAAAACGUCAUUGAAAAUCCCCGGAAAAUUUAAAUGUAACAUAUAAAAAUAAAUCUAAAAUAUUAUCAUCAAAAUAAUUUAUAGUUUUAUUGAGAUUAUGAUUAUUCGACUCCCAC